ACAGCCGUUGCACACGAGUCAGUCGAUCCUAAACCCGACGAGAAGUCGGUAUCACUGUAAGGCAGUUAAUGUAAAAAAUGUUUGCCUACUUUGAUAAGGCGAAAGGGAAUCCGGUU
rnacentral:rRNA from 1 species